rnacentral:rRNA from 1 species
CCCUUAGAUGUUCUGGGCCGCACGCGCGCUACGCUGAUUCAUGCAACAAGUUUUGUCCUUGGCUGAUAGGCCUGGGUAAUCUUUGAACGUGAAUCGUGAUGGGGAUAGAUGAUUGCAAUUAUUCAUCUUCAACGAGGAAUUCCUAGUAAACGCAAGUCAUCAGCUUGCAUUGAUUACGUCCCUGCCCUUUGUACACACCGCCCGUCGCACCUACCGAUUGAAUGGUCCGGUGAAAUCUUCGGAUCUGAGAGAUGUCUGAUUAAUUUCGGACGCCUUUUGGAAAAGUUGUUUAAACCUUACCAUUUAGAGGAAGGUGAAGUCGUANCA